CCUACGGGUGGCAGCAGUCGAGAAUCAUUCACAAUGGGGGAAACCCUGAUGGUGCGACGCCGCGUGGGGGAAUGAAGGUCUUCGGAUUGUAAACCCCUGUCAUGUGGGAGCAAAUUAAAAAGAUAGUACCACAAGAGGAAGAGACGGCUAACUCUGUGCCAGCAGCCGCGGUAAUACAGAGGUCUCAAGCGUUGUUCGGAAUCACUGGGCGUAAGGCGUGCGUAGGCUGUUUCGUAAGUCGUGUGUGAAAGGCGCGGGCUCAACCCGCGGAAGGCACAUGAUACUGCGAGACUAGAGUAAUGGAGGGGGAACCGGAAUUCUCGGUGUAGCAGUGAAAUGCGUAGAUAUCGAGAGGAACACUCGUGGCGAAGGCGGGUUCCUGGACAUUAACUGACGCUGAGGCACGAAGGCCAGGGGAGCGAAAGGGAUUAGAUACCCUGGUAGUC
rnacentral:rRNA from 1 species